rnacentral:tRNA from 1 species
UAGAGGAAGUAUAAUGGAGUGCUAAAGAUUUUGAGUCUUUUCGUGCAGGUUCAAGUCCUGUUCUUCUAA